rnacentral:rRNA from 1 species
AGCGUACACGGUGGAUGCCCUGGCAGUCAGAGGCGAUGAAGGACGUGCUAAUCUGCGAUAAGCGUCGGUAAGGUGAUAUGAACCGUUAUAACCGGCGAUUUCCGAAUGGGGAAACCCAGUGUGUUUCGACACACUAUCAUUAACUGAAUCCAUAGGUUAAUGAGGCGAACCGGGGGAACUGAAACAUCUAAGUACCCCGAGGAAAAGAAAUCAACCGAGAUUCCCCCAGUAGCGGCGAGCGAACGGGGAGCAGCCCAGAGCCUGAAUCAGUGUGUGUGUUAGUGGAAGCGUCUGGAAAGGCGCGCGAUACAGGGUGACAGCCCCGUACACAAAAAUGCACAUGCUGUGAGCUCGAUGAGUAGGGCGGGACACGUGGUAUCCUGUCUGAAUAUGGGGGGACCAUCCUCCAAGGCUAAAUACUCCUGACUGACCGAUAGUGAACCAGUACCGUGAGGGAAAGGCGAAAAGAACCCCGGCGAGGGGAGUGAAAAAGAACCUGAAACCGUGUACGUACAAGCAGUGGGAGCACGCUUAGGCGUGUGACUGCGUACCUUUUGUAUAAUGGGUCAGCGACUUAUAUUCUGUAGCAAGGUUAACCGAAUAGGGGAGCCGAAGGGAAACCGAGUCUUAACUGGGCGUUAAGUUGCAGGGUAUAGACCCGAAACCCGGUGAUCUAGCCAUGGGCAGGUUGAAGGUUGGGUAACACUAACUGGAGGACCGAACCGACUAAUGUUGAAAAAUUAGCGGAUGACUUGUGGCUGGGGGUGAAAGGCCAAUCAAACCGGGAGAUAGCUGGUUCUCCCCGAAAGCUAUUUAGGUAGCGCCUCGUGAAUUCAUCUCCGGGGGUAGAGCACUGUUUCGGCAAGGGGGUCAUCCCGACUUACCAACCCGAUGCAAACUGCGAAUACCGGAGAAUGUUAUCACGGGAGACACACGGCGGGUGCUAACGUCCGUCGUGAAGAGGGAAACAACCCAGACCGCCAGCUAAGGUCCCAAAGUCAUGGUUAAGUGGGAAACGAUGUGGGAAGGCCCAGACAGCCAGGAUGUUGGCUUAGAAGCAGCCAUCAUUUAAAGAAAGCGUAAUAGCUCACUGGUCGAGUCGGCCUGCGCGGAAGAUGUAACGGGGCUAAACCAUGCACCGAAGCUGCGGCAGCGACACUAUGUGUUGUUGGGUAGGGGAGCGUUCUGUAAGCCUGUGAAGGUGUGCUGUGAGGCAUGCUGGAGGUAUCAGAAGUGCGAAUGCUGACAUAAGUAACGAUAAAGCGGGUGAAAAGCCCGCUCGCCGGAAGACCAAGGGUUCCUGUCCAACGUUAAUCGGGGCAGGGUGAGUCGACCCCUAAGGCGAGGCCGAAAGGCGUAGUCGAUGGGAAACAGGUUAAUAUUCCUGUACUUGGUGUUACUGCGAAGGGGGGACGGAGAAGGCUAUGUUGGCCGGGCGACGGUUGUCCCGGUUUAAGCGUGUAGGCUGGUUUUCCAGGCAAAUCCGGAAAAUCAAGGCUGAGGCGUGAUGACGAGGCACUACGGUGCUGAAGCAACAAAUGCCCUGCUUCCAGGAAAAGCCUCUAAGCAUCAGGUAACAUCAAAUCGUACCCCAAACCGACACAGGUGGUCAGGUAGAGAAUACCAAGGCGCUUGAGAGAACUCGGGUGAAGGAACUAGGCAAAAUGGUGCCGUAACUUCGGGAGAAGGCACGCUGAUAUGUAGGUGAAGUCCCUUGCGGAUGGAGCUGAAAUCAGUCGAAGAUACCAGCUGGCUGCAACUGUUUAUUAAAAACACAGCACUGUGCAAACACGAAAGUGGACGUAUACGGUGUGACGCCUGCCCGGUGCCGGAAGGUUAAUUGAUGGGGUUAGCGGUAACGCGAAGCUCUUGAUCGAAGCCCCGGUAAACGGCGGCCGUAACUAUAACGGUCCUAAGGUAGCGAAAUUCCUUGUCGGGUAAGUUCCGACCUGCACGAAUGGCGUAAUGAUGGCCAGGCUGUCUCCACCCGAGACUCAGUGAAAUUGAACUCGCUGUGAAGAUGCAGUGUACCCGCGGCAAGACGGAAAGACCCCGUGAACCUUUACUAUAGCUUGACACUGAACAUUGAGCCUUGAUGUGUAGGAUAGGUGGGAGGCUUUGAAGUGUGGACGCCAGUCUGCAUGGAGCCGACCUUGAAAUACCACCCUUUAAUGUUUGAUGUUCUAACGUUGGCCCGUAAUCCGGGUUGCGGACAGUGUCUGGUGGGUAGUUUGACUGGGGCGGUCUCCUCCUAAAGAGUAACGGAGGAGCACGAAGGUUGGCUAAUCCUGGUCGGACAUCAGGAGGUUAGUGCAAUGGCAUAAGCCAGCUUGACUGCGAGCGUGACGGCGCGAGCAGGUGCGAAAGCAGGUCAUAGUGAUCCGGUGGUUCUGAAUGGAAGGGCCAUCGCUCAACGGAUAAAAGGUACUCCGGGGAUAACAGGCUGAUACCGCCCAAGAGUUCAUAUCGACGGCGGUGUUUGGCACCUCGAUGUCGGCUCAUCACAUCCUGGGGCUGAAGUAGGUCCCAAGGGUAUGGCUGUUCGCCAUUUAAAGUGGUACGCGAGCUGGGUUUAGAACGUCGUGAGACAGUUCGGUCCCUAUCUGCCGUGGGCGCUGGAGAACUGAGGGGGGCUGCUCCUAGUACGAGAGGACCGGAGUGGACGCAUCACUGGUGUUCGGGUUGUCAUGCCAAUGGCACUGCCCGGUAGCUAAAUGCGGAAGAGAUAAGUGCUGAAAGCAUCUAAGCACGAAACUUGCCCCGAGAUGAGUUCUCCCUGACUCCUUGA